rnacentral:rRNA from 1 species
AUUGAACGCUGGCGGAAUGCUUUACACAUGCAAGUCGAACGGCAGCACGGACUUCGGUCUGGUGGCGAGUGGCGAACGGGUGAGUAAUGUAUCGGAACGUGCCCAGUCGUGGGGGAUAACGUAGUGAAAAUUACGCUAAUACCGCAUACGAUCUAUGGAUGAAAGCGGGGGAUCGCAAGACCUCGCGCGAUUGGAGCGGCCGAUAUCAGAUUAGGUAGUUGGUGGGGGAAAGGCCCACCAAGCCAACGAUCUGUAGCUGGUCUGAGAGGACGACCAGCCACACUGGAACUGAGACACGGUCCAGACUCCUACGGGAGGCAGCAGUGGGGAAUUUUGGACAAUGGGCGAAAGCCUGAUCCAGCCAUUCCGCGUGCAGGAUGAAGGCCCUCGGGUUGUAAACUGCUUUUGUACAGAACGAAAAGGUUUCUACUAAUACUAGGGGCUCAUGACGGUACUGUAAGAAUAAGCACCGGCUAACUACGUGCCAGCCGCCGCGGUAA